rnacentral:rRNA from 1 species
AGAACGAACGCUGGCGGCAGGCUUAACACAUGCAAGUCGAACGCUCGUAGCAAUACGGGAGUGGCAGACGGGUGAGUAACGCGUGGGAACAUACCCUCCGGUUCGGAAUAGCUCAGGGAAACUUGGAUUAAUACCGGAUACGGCUGAGAGGCGAAAGAUUUAUCGCCGGAGGAUUGGCCCGCGUUCGAUUAGCUUGUUGGUGAGGUAACGGCUCACCAAGGCGACGAUCGAUAGCUGGUCUGAGAGGAUGAUCAGCCACAUUGGGACUGAGACGCGGCCCAAACUCCUACGGGAGGCAGCAGUGGGGAAUAUUGGACAAUGGGCGCAAGCCUGAUCCAGCCAUGCCGCGUGAGUGAUGACGGCCUUAGGGUUGUAAAGCUCUUUCGCUCGGGACGAUAAUGACGGUACCGAGAUAAGAGCCCGGCUAACUUCGCGCCAGCAGCCGC